rnacentral:rRNA from 1 species
UGGGGAAUUUUGGACAAUGGGCGAAAGCCUGAUCCAGCAAUGCCGCGUGUGUGAAGAAGGCCUUCGGGUUGUAAAGCACUUUUGUCCGGAAAGAAAUCCUUGGCUCUAAUACAGUCGGGGGAUGACGGUACCGGAAGAAUAAGCACCGGCUAACUACGUGCCAGCAGCCGCGGUAAUACGUAGGGUGCAAGCGUUAAUCGGAAUUACUGGGCGUAAAGCGUGCGCAGGCGGUUUGCUAAGACCGAUGUGAAAUCCCGGGCUCAACCUGGGAACUGCAUUGGUGACUGGCAGGCUAGAGUAUGGCAGAGGGGGGUAGAAUUCCACGUGUAGCAGUGAAAUGCGUAGAGAUGUGGAGGAAUACCGAUGGCGAAGGCAGCCCCCUGGGCCAAUACUGACGCUCAUGCACGAAAGCGUGGGGAGCAAACAGGAUUAGAUACCCUGGUAGUCCACGCCCAUAAACGAUGUCAACUAGUUGUUGGGGAUUCAUUUCCUAGUAACGUAGCUAACGCGUGAAGUUGACCGCCUGGGGAGUACGGUCGCAAGAUUAAAACUUAAAGGAAUUGACGGGGUCAU